rnacentral:lncRNA from 1 species
CGCUCUGCCUGCGCUGUGAGGGGCUCCGAGCGGCGGUGCUCCGCUGUCGUGCGCUUUGUUCUGCGACAGACUUUUCCUAUCCCUCCCCAGUGAACCGGUUAUGUGCCUGAGAAGUCCAUGUCAGCACUCUCAAACAGGACGGGCUGUGCACUGCAGAGGAGAUUGCACACCUGAAAAACCUUCUACUGUCCCUACAUUUCGCUGUUCUACAGGCAACUGCCGGGCAUGUGCAUGACUUAUGGAGCUGUUCAGCAAAUGCUGAUGUCUGUAGAAGUGUAAGAUGAAGUUUCCACCAGUUUCAGAAAGGAUUCAUACAGCUUUCAAAAAUAUCAUUUAAAAUCAUCACAGUAGAUACUAAGGAAGGAAAUAAAAUAAGCCUACACGUCAGCCUGUGAUUCAC